CAAGUCGAACGAAUCCCACCGGCGUAGCAAUACGUUGGUGGGGGAAGUGGCGAAAGGGGCAGUAAUGCAUGGGUAACCUACCUUGGGGAUGGGCAUAGCCGUUCUAACGAACGGGUAAUUCCCAGCGAUUUGACGGGAGGGCAUCCUUCUGUCAGGAAAUGAAUUUCGCCUCGAGAGGGGCCCAUGUCGUAUUAGCUAGUUGGUGGGGUAACGGCCUACCAAGGCAAAGAUGCGUAGCGGGUGUGAGAGCACGACCCGCGCCACUGGCACUGAGACACUGGCCAGACACCUACGGGUGGCUGCAGUCGAGGAUCUUCGUCAAUGGGCGCAAGCCUGAACGAGCGACGCCGCGUGCGCGAUGAAGGCCUUCGGGUUGUAAAGCGCGAAAGUGGGGAGAAAGCCGCAAGGUUGAUCGAUCCACAGUAAGGACGGGCUAAGUUCGUGCCAGCAGCCGCGGUAAGACGAACUGUCCUAACGUUGUUCGGAAUCACUGGGCUUAAAGGGCGCGUAGGCGGUCGAUCAAGUCAGGGGUGAAAUCCUGCAGCUUAACUGUAGAAGUGCCUUUGAUACUGGUCGUCUCGAGGGAGGUAGGGGUUGUGUGGAACUUCCAGUGGAGCGGUGAAAUGCGUUGAUAUUGGAAGGAACGCCGGAGGCGAAAGCGACGCACUGGACCUUUUCUGACGCUGAGGCGCGAAAGCUAGGGGAGCAAACGGGAUUAGAUACCCCGGUAGUCCUAGCCCUAAACGAUGGGUACUAGAUUGUAGACUGAUCAUGGGUUUACAGUCGAAGCAAAAGUGUUAAGUACCCCGCCUGGGGAGUAUGGUCGCAAGGCUGAAACUCAAAGGAAUUGACGGGGGCUCACACAAGCGGUGGAGCAUGUGGCUUAAUUCGAGGCUACGCGA
rnacentral:rRNA from 1 species